rnacentral:rRNA from 1 species
UUAAGUUAGAAAGGGCGCACGGUGGAUGCCUUGGCACUAGGAGCCGAUGAAGGACGGGACGAACACCGAUAUGCUUCGGGGAGCUGUAAGCAAGCUUUGAUCCGGAGAUUUCCGAAUGGGGAAACCCACCACUCGUAAUGGAGUGGUAUCCAUAUCUGAAUACAUAGGAUAUGAGAAGGCAGACCCGGGGAACUGAAACAUCUAAGUACCCGGAGGAAGAGAAAGCAAAUGCGAUUCCCUGAGUAGCGGCGAGCGAAACGGGACCAGCCCAAACCAAGAGGCUUGCCUCUUGGGGUUGUAGGACACUCUGUACGGAGUUACAAAGGAACGAGGUAGAUGAAGAGGUCUGGAAAGGCCCGCCAUAGGAGGUAACAGCCCUGUAGUCAAAACUUCGUUCUCUCCUGAGUGGAUCCUGAGUACGGCGGAACACGUGAAAUUCCGUCGGAAUCCGGGAGGACCAUCUCCCAAGGCUAAAUACUCCCUAGUGACCGAUAGUGAACCAGUACCGUGAGGGAAAGGUGAAAAGCACCCCGGAAGGGGAGUGAAAGAGAUCCUGAAACCGUGUGCCUACAAGUAGUCAGAGCCCGUUAACGGGUGAUGGCGUGCCUUUUGUAGAAUGAACCGGCGAGUUACGAUCCCGUGCAAGGUUAAGCAGAAGAUGCGGAGCCGCAGCGAAAGCGAGUCUGAAUAGGGCGAAUUGAGUACGUGGUCGUAGACCCGAAACCAGGUGAUCUACCCAUGUCCAGGGUGAAGUUCAGGUAACACUGAAUGGAGGCCCGAACCCACGCACGUUGAAAAGUGCGGGGAUGAGGUGUGGGUAGGGGUGAAAUGCCAAUCGAACCUGGAGAUAGCUGGUUCUCUCCGAAAUAGCUUUAGGGCUAGCCUCAAGGUAAGAGUCUCGGAGGUAGAGCACUGAUUGGACUAGGGGCCCCUACCGGGUUACCGAAUUCAGUCAAACUCCGAAUGCCGAUGACUUAUCCUUGGGAGUCAGACUGCGAGUGAUAAGAUCCGUAGUCGAAAGGGAAACAGCCCAGACCGCCAGCUAAGGUCCCAAAGUAUACGUUAAGUGGAAAAGGAUGUGGAGUUGCUUAGACAACCAGGAUGUUGGCUUAGAAGCAGCCACCAUUUAAAGAGUGCGUAAUAGCUCACUGGUCGAGUGACUCUGCGCCGAAAAUGUACCGGGGCUAAACGUAUCACCGAAGCUGCGGACUGUUCUUCGAACAGUGGUAGGAGAGCGUUCUAAGGGCUGUGAAGCAAGACCGGAAGGACUUGUGGAGCGCUUAGAAGUGAGAAUGCCGGUAUGAGUAGCGAAAGAGGGGUGAGAAUCCCCUCCACCGAAUGCCUAAGGUUUCCUGAGGAAGGCUCGUCCGCUCAGGGUUAGUCGGGACCUAAGCCGAGGCCGAAAGGCGUAGGCGAUGGAUAACAGGUUGAUAUUCCUGUACCACCUCCUCACCAUUUGAGCAAUGGGGGGACGCAGGAGGAUAGGGUAAGCGCGGUAUUGGAUAUCCGCGUCCAAGCAGUUAGGCUGGGAAAUAGGCAAAUCCGUUUCCCGUGAAGGCUGAGCUGUGAUGGCGAGCGAAUUAUAGUAGCGAAGUUCCUGAUUCCACACUGCCAAGAAAAGCCUCUAGCGAGGUGAGAGGUGCCCGUACCGCAAACCGACACAGGUAGGCGAGGAGAGAAUCCUAAGGUGAUCGAGAGAACUCUCGUUAAGGAACUCGGCAAAAUGACCCCGUAACUUCGGGAGAAGGGGUGCUCUGUUAGGGUGCAAGCCCGAGAGAGCCGCAGUGAAUAGGCCCAGGCGACUGUUUAGCAAAAACACAGGUCUCUGCGAAGCCGUAAGGCGAAGUAUAGGGGCUGACGCCUGCCCGGUGCUGGAAGGUUAAGAGGAGCGCUUAGCGUAAGCGAAGGUGCGAAUUGAAGCCCCAGUAAACGGCGGCCGUAACUAUAACGGUCCUAAGGUAGCGAAAUUCCUUGUCGGGUAAGUUCCGACCCGCACGAAAGGCGCAACGAUCUGGGCACUGUCUCAACGAGAGACUCGGUGAAAUUAUAGUACCUGUGAAGAUGCAGGUUACCCGCGACAGGACGGAAAGACCCCGUGGAGCUUUACUGCAGCCUGAUAUUGAAUGUUGGUACAGCUUGUACAGGAUAGGUAGGAGCCUUGGAAAUCGGAGCGCCAGCUUCGGUGGAGGCAUCGGUGGGAUACUACCCUGGCUGUAUUGACCUUCUAACCCGCCGCCCUUAUCGGGCGGGGAGACAGUGUCAGGUGGGCAGUUUGACUGGGGCGGUCGCCUCCUAAAAGGUAACGGAGGCGCCCAAAGGUUCCCUCAGAAUGGUUGGAAAUCAUUCGCAGAGUGUAAAGGCACAAGGGAGCUUGACUGCGAGACCUACAAGUCGAGCAGGGACGAAAGUCGGGCUUAGUGAUCCGGUGGUUCCGCAUGGAAGGGCCAUCGCUCAACGGAUAAAAGCUACCCCGGGGAUAACAGGCUUAUCUCCCCAAGAGUCCACAUCGACGGGGAGGUUUGGCACCUCGAUGUCGGCUCAUCGCAUCCUGGGGCUGUAGUCGGUCCCAAGGGUUGGGCUGUUCGCCCAUUAAAGCGGUACGCGAGCUGGGUUCAGAACGUCGUGAGACAGUUCGGUCCCUAUCCGUCGCGGGCGCAGGAAAUUUGAGAGGAGCUGUCCUUAGUACGAGAGGACCGGGAUGGACGCACCGCUGGUGUACCAGUUGUUCUGCCAAGGGCAUCGCUGGGUAGCUAUGUGCGGACGGGAUAAGUGCUGAAAGCAUCUAAGCAUGAAGCCCCCCUCAAGAUGAGAUUUCCCAUUCCGCAAGGAAGUAAGAUCCCUGAAAGAUGAUCAGGUUGAUAGGUCUGAGGUGGAAGUGUGGCGACACAUGGAGCUGACAGAUACUAAUCGAUCGAGGACUUAACCAA